CGAACGCUGGCGGCGUGCUUACCACAUGCAAGUCGACCGGAAAGGCCCCUUUGGGGGUCCUCGAGUGGCGAACGGGUGAGUAACACGUGAGUAACCUGCCCUUGACUUCGGGAUAACUUCAGGAAACUGGGGCUAAUACCGGAUAGGAAUCCUUGCUGCAUGGUGGGGGUUGGAAAGCUUCGGCGGUUUUGGAUGGACUCGCGGCUUAUCAGCUUGUUGGUGGGGUAGUGGCUUACCAAGGCUUUGACGGGUAGCCGGCCUGAGAGGGCGACCGGCCACAUUGGGACUGAGAUACGGCCCAGACUCCUACGGGAGGCAGCAGUGGGGAAUAUUGCACAAUGGGCGGAAGCCUGAUGCAGCAACGCCGCGUGCGGGAUGACGGCCUUCGGGUUGUAAACCGCUUUCAGCAGGGGCGAAGCUUGUGGUGACGGUACCUGCAGAAGAAGCACCGGCUAACUACGUG
rnacentral:rRNA from 1 species